rnacentral:tRNA from 1 species
AAUGAUGUGCCUGAAUAAAGGAUUAUUUUGAUAGAAUAAAUUAUAUAAAUUUAAUUAUCUUCAUUAUUU